rnacentral:lncRNA from 1 species
UAGGCUCAUUCCCAAAGUAAUGCCUCGCCCUCACAGCUAAGUGGAAACCAAACCAGCCACCAGAGAAAUGGAAGUUAGGCCAUUGUAUCAGUCAGGAUAUUCUUUUAAAUAACCAGAGGGCUUUGUUGUCUCUUAGAAUUGGAAUGUCAAGUGGGAAGAUAAGUUUCAGGGGCUGUUUGAUUGAGCAACCCAAAAAUGUCAUUAAGAAAAGAUCCGGCUUCUUUCCAUCUCUCCACUCUACUUUUUACAGGUCAAUGAAUCCAAGUUGUUUUUGUUUUGUUUUGUUUUCAUUAUGACAAAAUGGUGGCAGCCAUUCUAGACUGACACGCCACAGCAGCUGGAAGAAAGACACGAUCUUUUCCUCUGAUGCCUCUCUCAGAAGCAUUCCAGUUUAUGUCUUCCUCUUGCCUAUUUGAGGACUAAAGUCAAAAUGUCUAUACCAUCCUGUACAGCCACAUAUGGGUCUUGAGCACUUGAAAAGUGACUGGUCCAGCUUCACAUGUGCUCACUGUACCAGCCUCUGGAGGAAAUGCAAGAGACCUUCCAGACCUGAUCACCACACCCUAUUCAUAAUCUCGCCAUGGAGAAGAGACAUCCACUUAUGAAGCCAGCAGAACAGAUGUGGGCAACUUUCAAAAACGAAGUAACAAAUGGUCAGCUCCUGUUCUUCUGUAGUGCUGAGGAUGGAAGGAGAAAGAUUUAUUUGUCCAUACGGCCAAGUUUAACAAGUCCUGGAGUUGUGGCAGGCAAGUGGGUUACAUCGAAGUUUCUGUUUGGAGGCAGAGAGAUGGAAGAUAAAGGAUGCGCCUUUAAAUUUCCCCUGAACGUGUUACUUUCCAGCUCUAAAAUGCUUUUGGCAAGAGAAAAUAACACAUAAAACAAUUUCUGCUUAUAGAUGAAAUAACAGAAGCUGAAUUUAUCCUCCUGCUUAAACAAGAGGAAAACAGAACAAAACCUGUGACUGGUUUUCAGACAUUAAACAACAGGCAAUGUGAGACUGUGAUGUCAAGAAGAUAGUAACUGGCUACAAUUGGUGAGAGCCAUUUUCAGGCUGUAGGACGGGGAGGAUGAAUCCAAACACAGACCAGCAGUUCUAUUGAGUUGCGGAGUCAGAGACUAGAGAUCAGAGAAGCCAAGGCAGCUAAAACUUGAGGGGCAGAGAAACCAGGAGCAAAAGGAUUAUAUACACAGAGAGAACUCCAGCAUCUAUAGAGGAAUAUCCUCAAGUACUUGGCUGAGUACUGAUCUGCAAUUGCAAAGACAAAGGAGAAAUAGGAGGAGGAAGAAGAGGAGAAGGAGAAGAAAUUGCCAGAGGUGAGAAAAAGAAUCACCAGAAAUGAUACACAGAAUAAUUUCCAAAGCUUGUACAGGGCUGGAAAUAAUCUGUACUCCACCAGACAAAGUAGUUAACUGAAAUCAAUUAAUCCUUAAUGGUUUCAAGAAAACCCAGAACUCCCAGCUUAUUUAAUCUGGCUUCAUAAAUCAGAAAGAUAUCAUAAUAUGGGGCAUCAGGUAGGAUCCACAAAAGGGUAUUGCCUUAACAAUGAGAUUAAAUUAGACCUAGAUUAAAGACUGCUGUGAAACUGCCCUAACAAAGUAUAAAAGCAAAUCAAAAAGAAAAGCUAAUUCAAAGUCACUUAACAGUGCACAAAAUCCAGCAAGUAACAGUAUAAAAUUUACAUUGCACAAUAUCUGAUUUUUAAAAAAUUACAAGGUAUGAAAAGAAGCAAGAAAAUGUGUUCUAUAGCAAUAGAAAAUCAAUACAUGGAAACAAGCAAAGAAAUAACAGAAAUGAUGGGACUAACAGACAAGAGUGUUAAAACCAAUAAAUAAUAAUAAAAAUUGGAAAUGUAUAGCUACUAAGUUAAAAGUAAAGAUGAAAUGAAACCAUAAAAAAAUUAAUCUAGGCUG